GNCGAGCGAGCGGGNANAGNUCAAAUUUAUAAUCUGGCACCUUCGGUGUCCGAGUUGUAAUCUCUAGAAGUGUUUUCCGCGUUGGACCGCACACAAGUCUGUUGGAAUACAGCGGCAUAGUGGUGAAACCCCCGUAUAUGGUGCGGACGCCCAGCGCUUUGUGAUACACUUUCAAUGAGUCGAGUUGUUUGGGAAUGCAGCUCAAAUUGGGUGGUAAAUUCCAUCUAAAGCUAAAUAUUGGCGAGAGACCGAUAGCGAACAAGUACCGUGAGGGAAAGAUGAAAAGCACUUUGGAAAGAGAGUUAACAGUACGUGAAAUUGUUGGAAGGGAAACGCUUGAAGUCAGACUUGCUUGCCGGAGCUUGCUUCGGUUUGCAGGCCAGCAUCAGUUUUCCGGGGUGGAUAAUGACGGUUUGAAGGUAGCAGUCUCGGCUGUGUUAUAGCUUUCCGUUGGAUACAUCCUGGGGGACUGAGGAACGCAGCGUGCUUUUUGCGAAAGACUCGUCUUUUUCACGCUUAGGAUGCUGGUGGAAUGGCUUUAAACGACCCGUCUUGAAACACG
rnacentral:rRNA from 1 species